AUCUAUGCCGGUAGGGCGUUUCAGCAAGAAGGCAGUAGGCCGCAGGCGAUUUCCGUCUUUUGGUCGAGUGAGAGAGGAAACGGGAUCGGAUUUUGGCACUAGCAGCGGCAAGCCGGCGGCAGAUAAAGAAAGAGGAGAGGGAAGGCAGCGGCAGCAGCGGGAGGUGGAGAGAAGGAUGAAAUAGGACGUAGCAGUACCCACGCGGAGAAUGGACAGCGAAUCGAGAUAACAUACAUCGGACGGAGAGCGAGUGUGAGCGAACGUGGAGGAGGAGGGUACACUCGAAACACUCCCAACCUUGUUCUUCCCGCCGCGCGAGCUCGGAACUGGGGACGAGGGAAGGGAGGGAAUCGGAGAGCCGGGAUUGCUGCGGAAUAUGGACCGCUUUGGAUCUGACGGGUGUUCUCCUAACCCGAUGGGCGUCCAGGAAGAAGAGGAGGAUCUGUUCUUCGAGUCGCAGGAAGACGUCUUGUCCGUGUUCGAUUCGUGUCUGGGCAGCCCAACAAAGGAUGAUUUCUUGCUGGAAGAUCAGUUCGUUAGCCAAGGGUCGAUAGGUCCCCUGUGCGAUGUCUGGAUUACGAGUUCCGAUGGCGCGAGGGAACGCCGAUAUAGGUUCAUGAGAUGGAUGGGCAUAGAUCUCAUGAACGGCUCGUUUCUGAGUUCCUCUGAUCCGGAUGGACAAACGCAGGUCGAUGAUGAGAUACAGACAGAUACUGAUGGGAUCAUGUCGAGUUCUGGGUCUGUGAUGAGAGGCUUUGAUAUAGAUAAUAAGUAUUCAAUCUCCAGCGGGUCUACAGAGGAUGAGCACCCAUCCUGCAACGAGGCCUUGGAAGAGUGCUUGGUGUACAGAAUCAAGAAUUUGGAUGAUAGAUUCGUAAGUCCUCCUAAAGUUGGUUCAAAUCAUAUUGUACCAUUUGAUGAAUUCAAGGGAAGUUCGGGUCCAUCAUCUUUAAACCAGCAGCUCAUGCUUCGAGAAGAUAAAGCUUCAAGCAAGUCUGACAGUUCAGUGAGGAGGAAGAGACCUGGUUGGCUGAGGAAACUGGGUGCUGUUGCUUGCAUUGUGGAUAGGCAAGGUGAGGAGAGUAAUUCAUCUUUUCAUGACAGCGAUAAGAGUGGUAUUGCUGGGUCUGGGAGAGUGAACGUUAAGCCUUGUGGGAAGCGGUCCAAGGAAUUCUCUGCAAUCUACAAAAUGCAAGAUAUUAAAGCACAUGAUGGUGCGAUCUUCACCAUGAAGUUUAGCCCUGAUGAUCAGUAUUUAGCUAGUGGAGGUGCAGAAGGGAUUGUGCGUGUGGCAUGUCAUGGUUUGUGAAAGGACAAAUGAAAUUAGCAUCCCUGACGAUGAUCCUUCUUGCAUAUACUUCACAGUGAAUCAUAGUGCUGAAUUAACUCCAGUGCAUGCUGAUAAGAAGAACACGUUCAAGUCCAGGGAUAUGAGGAGAAGUGCGGAUUCUGCUUGUGCUGUUAUCCCCCCUGAUGUUUUUCGGUUAUCUGAGAAACCACUGCAUGCAUUCCAUGGGCAUGAUGCAGAUGUGCUGGAUCUUUCAUGGUCAUUGGAUAAGCAUCUAUUGUCAUCUUCCAAGGACAAAACUGUUCGCCUAUGGCAAGUUGGAUCUGGUAGCUGCCCCAAAGUUUUCUCCCAUAUCAACUAUGUGACAUGUGUUCAAUAUAAUCCUAUUGACGAGAAUUACUUCGUAAGUGGAUCUAUAGAUGGGAAAGUUCGUAUUUGGAAUAUUUCAAGAGGUCAAGUUGUGGAUUGGGUUGAUAUUAGGGAAAUAGUCACUGCAGUUUGUUUCCGCCCCAAUGGGAAGGGAGUGGUUGUAGGGACCUUGACGGGUGGUUGUUGUUUUUAUGAUGCACCAGAUAAUCAUCUUCAAAAAGAAGCUCAGAUCUCCUUUCAAGGCAAAAAAAAGUCUCUUAAAAAUCAGAUAACUGGAUUUCAGUUUUGCCCAAGGGAUCCUCAAAAAUUGAUGGUCACUUCUGCAGACUCACAUAUUUGAAUAUUUGAUGGUGUUGACUUGGUCACCAAAUACAGGGGUAUCCUCUUUGUCACAAGUCAGAUAUCUGCAUCUUUUACUGCAGAUGGCCAGCAUAUCAUCUCUGCCAGUGAGGAUUGCAAUGUCUCUGUCUGGAGCCAUGUUACCCAUGACAUCCGUAUGUCCAACCAUGUUAAGAGCAUAUGGUCUUGUGAGCGUUUCUUCUCCACCAAUGCUUAUAUUGCAAUACCUUGGCAUGGUUUGGAAUCCAGUUAUCGGAUAUCUAUGACCUCUGAUGUUUUCCAAUCGCAACAAGUUAACGGUGACCAAUCUGGAGUCACAGAGAAUGAAUCUAAAUGUCAUUUACAAGAUUCAGAUGGUGAUAAAUACAGGGUACUGUAUUUAUCACCAUCUGGGAGUUUUACGCUGAGCCAUGAUUUCUUCUCAGAGCUUCUGCCAAAGAGCUCAGCAACAUGGCCAGAGGAGAAACUUCCCUCAAAUUGUGCUGCAUCUAGCGUGUCCAAAUCCCGGUACAAGUUCCUGAAGACAUCUUGCCAGAACACCUCCCAUGCCUGGGGUCAGGUAAUAUUAACUGCUGGAUGUGAUGGAUGGAUCAGAUCCUAUCAGAAUUUUGGUUUGCCUGUACAUAUAUGACUAAUUUCACCAUCGAAAUGGUCGAUGUAAUGUGGCACACCUUUUCGACCAAAACCGAGUGACUGACAAAGUUGAUGCAGCUGAAUCAUCUGGCGAUCUUUGUGCGGGAUCACAUGCUCAUUGUUCCUGCCAAAAUGUUGCGGAGCCUUACUGUAUAUAUGUGCUGGAGGUCCUCAAAUAUCGUGGCUGCAACAACAGAUCAUAGCAAGUGCAGGAGGUUCACAUCCUUACGGAACUAUGCAAUGCAGAUGAUUGAUUAGAAGAAAAGUAGAAGCAGAUCGAUCAAGAACAAAAAAAGGAAGAGAAGUGAAGACGACGACAAUCUCAGCCACCUUACCGCACCUUGGCAGAUCCGCUGGGGGAUGAGGAAGCGACUCCAUGGUACCAUUUCCGUCCUUCACGACGAACGCCAUGGCCAGCCCCCAGCUCGCGUGCACCUCGAGGUGGCAAUGCACGAACCAAACACCUGGAUUGUCGGCGACGAACCGGAUCGCGGCCCAUCCUCCGGCGGGGACGCCGAUUGUGUUCAUGUAUGGCGGAUCGACCAGGUUGAGCUUCGCCGUCAUCGGGUUGUAGUUGCCGGUCCCGUGGCCGACGACGUGGAAACUGUGGCCAUGCAGAUGGACGGGGUGGUUCUCGGUGCCCACGGUCCCUGUGUUCUGCAACACCAGCUGCACCCUGCUCCCGAACUCCAGCACCUUCACCCUCGUCCCGUUCAACGACUGGGUGUCGUUGGGCGCGCCAUCGACGAAGUCGUAGUUCUUCAGUGGCACUCCGGGGAAGUCCUCGGUGUAGUAGCCGUUCAUGUUGUCGUAGUAGGCUUGCAGCAGCGAAACCAUCGGCUCGACGAAGGCGAUGUUGUUCAUGACCGCAGCUAAGACGCCGCCGUUGGGCCCCUGGCAGCUCGCGUUCGGGUGGGACGAGUGGCACUGCUCCACGGUCAACCCGAUGGUGAAGAGCAGGUUGGCGUCGACGACGAGGGGAACGCCGGUGUCGUUCAGGCUUCGCAGGUUGUUCAGUGCGAAGUCGACGGUGAGGCUGUCGUUGAAGGCCGGGAACUCGGCCGGGCGACUCGGGGCUUCGGGGCCGGCUCCGGAGUAGCGGAAGUGCGCGACGGCGGGGGUGUUCUGGAAGGGGACGUUUUGGGCGGACAUGAAGGGUGCCAGGGCCAUGUCGUAGGUGUCGAUGGGCUGGUCCGCCUGUACGAGGACGUUGAUGGUCUGCCCCGGCGCGAUCAUGAGGCUGUCGACCGUGAGAGGCUUAGUGUACUCGCCGUCGGCCUCGACGAUGGUCAUCCGGUGGUCGGCGAUGGCGAAGAAGUGCUCCGUGUUGAGGGACGCGCUUACCAGCCGCAGCAGGUAGGUCUUACCGGGAACCACGGGGAUCUCGUAGAUGUCUGCAGUGAGGUGGAACCCGAUCAAGUUGUUAUCUUCAGGUAGACGUCAGCUCAAAGGAGUUUUACCAGUGGCCGAGCAGUUGUAGAGCGGCCCGGGGCUGCCAUUGAUGAGGUACGCAUCCGCCGGCGGAGCUCCGCCGCCGCUCGACAUGACAUCCUCCUCGAGCUGCAGCACGUCCUUGUGCCAGUACUCCGCUGUCACCAAUCGUGGGAUCGUCACCAACUGGCCUCGAGAAUUCAACUCAAGGAUCAGGGAAGACGUUACCGAAGACCAAGCUGUGCUCCUCGUAGGGGUGGGGGAAGGGAUAGGGGACGCCGGUCUUGGGGUAGACGACGAUGGCUCCGUGGACGGUGGCGCGGAGCCAUGAGACGUGGGCGUGCCACAGGAGCGUGCCCUUCUGCUGCACCAAGGUGAACUCGUAGGUGUAGCUGCGGCCGGCCUGGAUGGGGCACUGCGUGAUGUACGACGGCCCGUCCGCCCAGCACGACAGCCUCUGCCUCACUCCAUGCCUGGAACAAGAAUACCACCAAAACAAUAUGAGGCCGAGAAGAGGAGAGAAGACGAUGUACCGUCUAAGGAAGAAGGAUUACCAGUGAAUGGUGAUGUUGUUAGGGGUCUGGUUGGUGACCCUGACGAUGACCCGGUCGUCUUCCUGCGCAUAAAUCACCGGUCCUGGAAACUUGCCGUUGACGGUGACGAUGUCAUUCGUCUUACACAGCUUGGUAACUCUUAGGGUUUGAACCUUCGCGACAACAACAUAUUAGAUCUCUUUACAAGCAGCUUGCAAUGAAUGCAACAGAGAGAGAGAGUGAGACCUUGAAGUGGUAGAAGCUGGUGGAAGCUCCCACAGGCCAAUACGCGCGGGCGAAGCUGAGAGGGACGUAGUACGACAGCAACAAACUCAGCCAUAGAAGAAGACAGGAAGACCAAGCCAUCUCUGGGGUUGCAAUGGACUUGAAGGAGCAGGGAAAGCGACCUUCUCCUACUGCUCACAGAUGUGCAUGAGAGCAGAGAUGCUCUGUACGAGCUGUGGCAAGAGGUGGGUCACUGAGAGUGCAAGCCUCAUGCACGUUGUCCCUCAAUUAUAAGUCUGUCAGGAAGAGCUGUAGUGCCAUGGAGAUCAUUAUUCUAUGAGCUUUUUUGGUGGCUUUCUCCCCCCCUC